CCUACGGGAGGCAGCAGUGAGGAAUAUUGGUCAAUGGACGAGAGUCUGAACCAGCCAAGUAGCGUGAAGGAUGACUGCCCUAUGGGUUGUAAACUUCUUUUAUAUGGGAAUAAAAUGUUCCACGUGUGGGAUUUUGUAUGUACCAUAUGAAUAAGGAUCGGCUAACUCCGUGCCAGCAGCCGCGGUAAUACGGAGGGUCCGAGCGUUAUCCGGAUUUAUGGGGGUUAAAGGGAGCGUAGGUGGAUUGUUAAGGCAGUGGUGAAAGUUUGCGGCUCAACCGUAAAAGUGCAGUUGAAACUGGCGCUCUUGAGUGGAAGAGGAGUCUGGGGAAUGCGUGGUGUAGCGGUGGAA
rnacentral:rRNA from 1 species